rnacentral:rRNA from 1 species
GAUGAACGCUGGCGGCGUGCCUAAUACAUGCAAGUCGAGCGAACAGACGAGGAGCUUGCUCCUCUGACGUUAGCGGCGGACGGGUGAGUAACACGUGGAUAACCUACCUAUAAGACUGGGAUAACUUCGGGAAACCGGAGCUAAUACCGGAUAAUAUAUUGAACCGCAUGGUUCAAUAGUGAAAGACGGUUUUGCUGUCACUUAUAGAUGGAUCCGCGCCGCAUUAGCUAGUUGGUAAGGUAACGGCUUACCAAGGCAACGAUGCGUAGCCGACCUGAGAGGGUGAUCGGCCACACUGGAACUGAGACACGGUCCAGACUCCUACGGGAGGCAGCAGUAGGGAAUCUUCCGCAAUGGGCAAAACCCUGACGGAGCAACGCCGCGUGAGUGAUGAAGGUCUUCGGAUCGUAAAACUCUGUUAUUAGGGAAGAACAAAUGUGUAAGUAACUAUGCACGUCUUGACGGUACCUAAUCAGAAAGCCACGGCUAACUACGUG